UCCUCCUUAGCUCAGUUGGUUAGAGCAUCUGACUGUUAAUCAGAGGGUCGCUGGUUCGAGCCCAGCAGGAGGAGCCC
rnacentral:tRNA from 2 species